UAACUGGCGUUAGCCCAGUUAGCCUCAGCUGUGUUCAUUAGUUAUGCUCAACUCCUGAAAAACAACAAUCGCAUUGGAAAACUGCAAAGCAGCCCCUCUUUCAGUCUUUCCAUUUGGAAAACCAAUUCAUUUCUUCUUCAGCCACUCUUGAAGAUGGGUCUGAAACUUCUACCCAUCGUCGGUUUGUUUCCACCUAUUCCGCCGCACAUGGAGGAACCCCAUUUAUCAAAUAAGUAUUUUCCCCUCUUUUUAGUCCCUCAGUAGCUAGGGUAUGUGCAACCCUAUUCGAUUCUUUGUGGGUAAAUCGAAAGAAAAAUGAACAGAUUCUAGUACAUAAACGCUUUGAAUCUUCAAUAUAUGCUUCAAUCUCAGAUCUAUUUUCCUCCUCUGUCAGCAGUUUCCUUAUCACCGAUCGUGUGUCUCCUUCAAUUUUGACCAUCAGCAACCGGAGAUUUAUCCCCAACCGGAUCGCCUGAAGACACGCCAUCGCCUCCGAUGUGAACACUGACGAUAUGUUCUCAUGCAGUAUUGUUCUCAUGCAGCAUCAAAUUUUAUCUGAACAGUCGUCCUACUUGGUGCUUUCCAUCUUCCCGGGCUCUUUAUCUGAACUAUCCCUAAACACACUCUCACUCAUUUCAGCUUCAUUCUGGCACCUUGGGCAAUUUGCAGAUCCAGCCAAUCUUUUGUAGUGCAGGUUGUUGAAAGUAGGCAAAAAAUUACAUGAAAUUCUCCAACUUCUAAUGUUUACUUUUGAGGGUAGAUCUAAGUUCGAAAGCGGCUUGUAAAACUGUUUGUAAUUUAUCAGCAUAAGAUUAUGUACAUCUUGUAAUUAUAGUUUAUACCCAUUACGAACUGAGUAAUCCUCCGUAGCCUCCCCAGGCUAGAUAAUGUGGUCUUCGUGCGAGUUCAUCAAUAGAGGAAUGCACAAAAUUCUUCCAGCAUCUACCUCUGUAAAGUAUACUGAACUUCGGAUUCUCCACUUCCAAGUACCGAGGCAUCCUUCCAAAUUGAGACUUUCAUUCCAUCUCCAAUCCGUCAGCCCAACCCAAUCUGGAGGAGCCCUUUUGCAGCCCACAGGCUCUUUUAGGUAAAAGAAGUAAUUGUAGAAAUUUGGGGUUUUACUUGAUCUCUUUAGUCAAAGAAGAUAAUGGACAAGAGGAGAAAUAGUAAGUUUCAUUAUCUUUUUUCGAGUUCUCAUAGAUUUCCAACAUCAUAAAGCUGUCAUUGCUAUCUUUGCUUUUUCUUGAAUACAUCAAAUCAAAAGCUGGUAAGCAAUAUGAACCUGCAAUUGUAAUUUGUGUUAUUAGAUGUAUCUUGAUGGUGUUUCAUGUUUUCAGUAGGAAAAAUAAUGAAAUUUCGUUUUCAAAUAUUGCUUCUAUACUGCGGCUAGCAUCCGAAUCCUAUGUUUUUGAUUAAUGUGAUAAGUGAUAAUUAUGUUUAUUAUAUGUAUAUCUAGAGGGAGAUUUGUUAAUGUUUGCCAUGAAAUUAUAUGAUAAUGUGGUAAGAAGGAAAAUUUGUGAAAAUAUGUUGAAAACUAAUGCUAGUUGUUUGAAUGAAUGAAGUCAAACAGUUAUGCAUUGAAUAUAUAUAUAUAUAUAUAUAUGCAUAUAGCAGAGUUAUGCAUAUGCAUUGGAUGUAUGGUUUUUCUUGUAUUGCGCAGAUUCUUGGUUGCUUGACUGUUGUUACAUUUUUCGGUGCAAGCAACUCGGAUGAGACUGAAUCAGUAAUGAAGUUGCUUUGGGACUUAAUUAAUCCUGGAACUGACUCUAGUGGCAAUUACAUACUGCUCCUACAUAUUAGACAAUAACGAUGAAGCACUAUGUGCAGCAGCAUGUGAGGCUCUUGCUUUAGUAUUUGAAUCCAACUGUCUGGAGAAAUUCUCAAGUAAAACCAAUGAUUCAAACAAAGAACUUAAGGACAACAUUAUAAAGCAACUCGUAAGCGG